UCUGCCCUGCGGGGGGGAGAAAGAUGUCUGCUGGAACGGAUGGGGCAUUUUGUUAAGCACGUGCUGACUUUGUAAGUGAGCUGCCCAGCACUCACGCUGGCUGGGUGUGGGGCGCCCUGAUCCAUCAGCAUUGCAACUCUCGCUAUACUGCUGUAUUGAGAGAACUCGUGGUGCUUUGGAAGGAAAAUGGCUUUAAUGAAUACUUCAAGCACUUUGUAACACCGGAAGUGACAACAAGAAGAGAGAGAAGCUGACUGUACAGAAAUAAAAGCCAGGCUACAACUAAAGGUUUUUGGUAGUCCCCGAAGUAAUCCUUCAUCCGUGUGAAAGUGGAAUGCUAAAAGAACAAGUUGACAACAGCACCAGAAAAUAAGGUGAUGGUGUGAGAGUUAUUUCCUGCUAUCAUCAUUUGGAGGAGCAGAUCACACUGCAAAACAGGCGAUGAAGAGGAGAAAAAGCAGUCUUCAGCUGUGAGCUGUGUACGUACACCUCACUCAAGAGAUCGAGUCGGAACUGUCACAGGAAAAUCCAUUCUGAAGAAAAAUGUCACGUGUCUCAAGGCUUUUCAAACAGCUGCUCUCCUGCAGAACCACGUGAAUGUCCAUACAGGUAUCUGCUGCGUGUAGAUAUUCCAUGUUACCUAUUGCCUGCAGUACUUAACCAGCAGGCAAGUGACAGACUUAGAGGUGUGUUCUGUGAUCAUUCUGCCCUCAGGAGUUCCACUAGUUUUGUUUUGAGUUCCACACUGAGAGGAUGUGGUCUGUUUGCAAUUCUGUGUCCCCUUUUACCAUUCUGAGAAUUUUCAUCAACUGGAAAUUUGCUUCAGUUUUGUCAGAUUUCUGCAUGCAUGAUAGAAAGUUCUCUGAUGCCUUCUUUGUGGCUGUUUAACAACGUGAAGCAAACUGACAAAUCAGGUGUUUAUAAUCAAUAUAUGGGGGAUGUUUAUUGUCUAUUUAAAAUAAAAAAUAAAGUCACAAAAAGGUUUAAAGUUUAAAGCAGGGGGGGAAAGGGAACGUAGAGAUAAUUAGGGCCGGAAUGUUUCUAAUUGUUACUGCUUAUAAUGAUACCAAAUGCGUUAUGUGACUGAAUAUUCUGUGGAAAAUGUGGUCACUGCUGAUUUACGGGGAGGUUCCUGCAAGGAGAUGGGGUGACAUCUUGUGGCUGAUGCUUUAAACUGUUUAAAAUACAAAGCAUCCAAUAUUGUGGUUCUUUUCCCCUCCAGGGUACCUGUAGGAGUCUGAAUUUGCUUAUAUCAACAUCUAAUAUUAUUUUCAGGCUGUGUAACAAUCGUGAAACAUUGAAGGUGAUACAAUAACCUGAAAUACCUCUUCCCUGGUUGGGGUCUUCUCCCAGAAUGUAAAAAAUAGGGCACUGCAUAAGUUCAUUUUUACUCUGUAUGCAGAAAAUACAGCUUAUGUACACAGUGUGCAAAAUUUGUCUGCCAAAACAAUAUUUGUUGGAUUUUUUUUUGUGUGUGUGUGUUAAAGUGCUUCCAUGUAUUAAUAUUGGAUUCACGUAUUUACGCUGCAUUAUGCUAGCAGCGUGGUGUGCACAAGCAUCCUGAAAACUGUGGAUUGGUGAGGGCCAAAACUGCUACACCCAGAAAACGAAGCAAGGACAGAAGGAAAGAAAGUGAGAAUGAAAAGCAUGCUAAGCAAGAAGAUGUCUCUACUGUGAAGAGUGAACAUUGUGCCAGAGAGAUUGCUCCUCAUUUAGAAGGAACAGAGGGAACAGCUUUGAAAGCAGAAGACAGAAGCACCUUGUGAGAUGGCUGUGAUGGACUGACAUCUGAAGGUUAUUGGGAAGCUUCACCUCUUUUAUUCCAUUCACACAACAGAACGAAGAAAAUGAGCUAAAUUUGAAGUAAGUUAUGAAAGAUGGAUUUCUUUCAAUUUGAAUGUCAUUUUUUCUUAUAGAUUUACAUACAGAAUUCCAGAUUUACAUACUGACCUGAAACAAAUUUAUUCUUUAGUAACUCUGUACAGCUGAGAGCUGUGUGAACUUCAGUGUGUUUGUAUUUUCCUGAGGUGAGAAAUGAAAGGCAAUGAUACUGCAGUGUAAGGAACAUGUGCUAAAUCUCCUUUCAGCGAACACUUUCUAUCCGAUGUUUGUGGUGAUCACUAGGAGUCAGUUUGUUUCAUCUAUUGAAGUUAUUCAAUAGCUUUAUCCUCCUUCCGUUGCAGUGGUGGUUGUUUGAGCGUUUAAUAAGGUUCAAUAAUUACUGCUUUGUGUCUGUUUUCAUAAAGGUUUUCAUUAUUGUCAUAAAUCCUGAGCAACAGAUUUCUUUGUUGAAAUUCAUCUUUGAGGUCUGUAUAAGUUACGUGAUCAAUGUUCUGAAUAUAUUGCUUGCUUCAGUUGUUAAUAACCAAGCUGAAUGCUAUCCUGUGCUGGCGUCUGAGCAUCAGGCUACACAAAGUGGAACGUAAAUGGAAAAAUAAAAGAUCUUAAUGAAG
rnacentral:lncRNA from 7 species